CCGCACUGCCGAGGGUCUCCUGGUCCCUUCUAAUGACCUCGGAGACUCAUUAUUCAGUGCCAGAUUAACCCCUUCCUGCAGAAUGGCCGGGCCGUCCCGUGACCCGUUCAUUCCGAAGGUUGGGUACAAGA